UAUCUCUGUAGAGUCUGCAUAUCAAUAAGCGGAGGAAAAGAAACUAACAAGGAUUCCCUUAGUAACGGCGAGUGAAGCGGGAGGAGCUCAAAUUUGAAAUCUUCAAGGUUCUACCUUGACGAAUUGUAGUUUAAAGAAGUGUUUUCUGUUAGAUGAGUAGGCAAAAGUUCCUUGGAAUGGGACAUCAUAGAGGGUGAGAAUCCCGUAUUUGGUUAUUCAUUCUAGCUUUGUGAUACACUUUCAAAGAGUCGGAUUGUUUGGGAAUGCAGUCCAAAAUGGGUGGUAAAUUUCAUCUAAAGCUAAAUAUUGGCGAGAGACCGAUAGCGAACAAGUACCGUGAGGGAAAGAUGAAAAGAACUUUGAAAGAGAGUUAAACAGUACGUGAAAUUGUCAAAAGGGAAGCGUUUGACACCAGUGUUGUUUUUCCGAAAAUCAAUUACGAAUGGCUUGAUUUUGUGUUGUAUUGACCUUAUCAGCUUUCUGCACUUUUUUCGAGUCUUUCUUAAUGCACUUUUCGGUUAACAAGUCAACAUCAAUUUCUUUUGUUGUAAAAGAGUAUUCGGAAGGUGGCUUUCUUUUCGGAGAAAGUGUUUAUAGCCCUAUACUUCUACAAUCGGAGAGGUUGAGGUCUGCAGCGUAGAUCCUUCGGGGUUAGAUACAUUUGUGCUAAGUUGUAGCUUUUCAUAGACAACUUGUUGACUAUGCUUAGUCAUGCGGCUUACUCGCUUAUGCUAUUUUACCUACGCUUAGGAUGUUGAACUACUGAGACAUAGA
rnacentral:rRNA from 1 species